rnacentral:rRNA from 1 species
CCCCGAGAUACGCUGGCGGCGUGCUUACACAUGCAAUUCGAACGAACUCUUCGGAGUGCGUGGCGGACGGGUGAGUAACGCGUGAGGAUCUGCCUUCAGGAGGGGGACAACAGUUGGAAACGACUGCUAAUACCCCAUAUGCCCAUGGGUGAAAUGGUGAAUUCCGCCUGAAGAUGAACUCGCGUCAGAUUAGCUAGUUGGUGGGGUAAGAGCCUACCAAGGCGACGAUCUGUAGCUGGUCUGAGAGGAUGAUCAGCCACACUGGGACUGAGACACGGCCCAGACUCCUACGGGAGGCAGCAGUGGGGAAUUUUCCGCAAUGGGCGAAAGCCUGACGGAGCAACGCCGCGUGCGGGAUGACGGCCUGUGGGUUGUAAACCGCUUUUCUCAGGGAAGAAGAUCUGACGGUACCUGAGGAAUCAGCAUCGGCUAACUCCGUGCCAGCAGCCGCGGUAAUACGGAGGAUGCAAGCGUUAUCCGGAAUUAUUGGGCGUAAAGCGUCCGCAGGCGGCCUAUCAAGUCUGCUGUUAAAUGUCGGGGCUCAACUCCGAUUUGGCAGUGGAAACUGAUAGGCUAGAGUACGGUAGGGGUAGAGGGAAUUCCCAGUGUAGCGGUGAAAAUGCGUAGAUAUUGGGAAGAACACCAGUUGGCGAAGGCGCUCUACUGGGCCGUAACUGACGCUGAGGGAACGAACGCUACGGGACCGAAAGGGAUUAGAUAACUUUGUAGCCUAGCUGUAACGAUGGACCUAGGUGUUGGCGUUUCACCGU